rnacentral:rRNA from 1 species
UACGAAGGGGGCAAGCGUUGUUCGGAAUUACUGGGCGUAAAGGGCGUGUAGGCGGUGCUGUAAGUCGGAUGUGAAAACUCUGGGCUCAACCCAGAGCCUGCAUCCGAAACUGGAGUGCUAGAGUUCUGGAGGGGGUAGCGGAAUUCCUGGUGUAGCGGUGAAAUGCGUAGAUAUCAGGAGGAACACCGGUGGCGAAGGCGGCUACCUGGACAGAAACUGACGCUGAGGCGCGAAAGCUAGGGGAGCAAACAGG